GAUGAACGCUAGCGGGAGGCCUAACACAUGCAAGCCGAGCGGUAGAGUCUCUUCGGAGACUUGAGAGCGGCGCACGGGUGCGGAACACGUGUGCAACCUGCCUUUAUCUGGGGGAUAGCCUUGCGAAGGGAAGAUUAAUACCCCAUAAUAUACUGGAUGGCAUCAUCUGGUAUUGAAAACUCCGGUGGAUAGAGAUGGGCACGCGCAAGAUUAGAUAGUUGGUGAGGUAACGGCUCACCAAGUCAGCGAUCUUUAGGGGGCCUGAGAGGGUGAUCCCCCACACUGGUACUGAGACACGGACCAGACUCCUCCGGGAGGCAGCAGUGAGGAAUAUUGGACGAUGGGUGAGAGCCUGAUCCAGCCAUCCCGCGUGAAGGACGACGGCCCUAUGGGUUGUAAACUUCUUUUGUAUAGGGAUAAACCUAGAUACGUGUAUCUAGCUGAAGGUACCAUACGAAUAAGCACCGGCUAACUCCGUG
rnacentral:rRNA from 1 species